rnacentral:rRNA from 1 species
AUUCCCACCUCCUUGAGGGGUUAAGGCUCCCAGUAGACGACUGGGUUGAUAGGCCAGAUGUGGAAGCCCUGUGAGGGGUGGAGCUGACUGGUACUAAUAGGCCGAGGGCUUGUCCU